rfam:Veillonella sp. oral taxon 780 str. F0422 ctg1127947897846, whole genome shotgun sequence.
GGCCCCGUGGUGUAGCGGUUAACAUGUCGCCCUGUCACGGCGAAGAUCGUCGGUUCAAAUCCGAUCGGGGUCG